rnacentral:rRNA from 1 species
AGAUUGAACGCUGGCGGCAGGCCUAACACAUGCAAGUCGAGCGGUAGAGAGGUGCUUGCAUCUCUUGAGAGCGGCGGACGGGUGAGUAAUGCCUAGGAAUCUGCCUAGUGGUGGGGGAUAACGUUCGGAAACGGACGCUAAUACCGCAUACGUCCUACGGGAGAAAGCGGGGGACCUUCGGGCCUCGCGCCAUUAGAUGAGCCUAGGUCGGAUUAGCUAGUUGGUGAGGUAAUGGCUCACCAAGGCGACGAUCCGUAACUGGUCUGAGAGGAUGAUCAGUCACACUGGAACUGAGACACGGUCCAGACUCCUACGGGAGGCAGCAGUGGGAAUAUUGGACAAUGGGCGAAAGCCUGAUCCAGCCAUGCCGCGUGUGUGAAGAAGGUCUUCGGAUUGUAAAGCGCUUUAAGGUUGGAGGAAGGUUGUAACCUAAUACGUUGCAACUUUGACGUUACCGACAGAAUAAGCACCGGCUAACUCGUGCCAGCAGACCG